GCCACUUAGUAACUGCUAUCUUUGUAAUACCCAGUUAGUCUUGAAAUUUAUAAUGAAUUGAUAGAUACUACAAGGUAGAACUGAAUUCAUAACAUUUAUGGAAUUUGGUCAAAUCGAUUCAUAUAGGAUUCCAGGUUGGGGAUGGAUCUUAUGAAUCAAGAACAUCUACAUCUAUCUCCCAAGAAGAUAUGGAAGAACUAAUGACUUCCAUCAAGAAAGAUCCAUACCUGAAAACUAUUAUAGAAGAAAUUGAGACUGGUGGUCCAACUGUAAUGAUGAGAGAUUACGCAGAAGUUGGCGCAAGCUAUGGGUUUUUGAAUUUUAGGAGGGGACAAUAUGUUUGCUCAGUUGAACAUAAUGCACCAAAUGCUGAUGCAGAAGAUCAAACUGCCAAACAGGCUUGAAGCAAUUGUUCGCAGAUGAAGCUAGGGAUUGUUUUCUUGAACCAUUAGGAUGAUAACUUGUAGAGAAUAUGUUACUAAUUGCAUAGGGAUAGUUUUGAAUUUUCAUAAAUCUUAACAAUUUGGAUCAUCCUCAACUUCAUCAGAAAUUAUGAAUGAUUUCGGUAUGGGA